rnacentral:lncRNA from 1 species
GAGGAUUCGAAUUCUGCAGAUCUAGUAUGUGAGAACCAAGAGCAGAAAAAUCUUUGCGUGAAUCUGUUUCCAGAACGCAGUACCCUGAACCCAGUUUCUCCAUAAACACUCAGGAUGUCACUUACAAGGUCAACAAUCCACUCUCUCCUGGAACAUCACAAGAUCGGUUCAUUAAAUUUGCUUGCUGUGUUGUUUUUUAAAUAUAAGAAUCACAAGGCACUGUAAACAAAAACCAGGUGGCAUCUGAAAGGUGAAAAUUCUGCUUCCUUUCUGGCAAACACUGCGCCUUCAAAC